rnacentral:tRNA from 1 species
AGUGCGGUGGUGCAGUGGGUAGCACUGUUGCCUCAUAGCAAGAAGGUCCUUGGUUCAAAUCAAAUUUGAAUGU